GAUGAACGCUGGCGGCGUGCCUAAUACAUGCAAGUCGAACGAAACUUCUUUAUCACCGAGUGCUUGCACUCACCGAUAAAGAGUUGAGUGGCGAACGGGUGAGUAACACGUGGGCAACCUGCCCAAAAGAGGGGGAUAACACUUGGAAACAGGUGCUAAUACCGCAUAACCAUAGUUACCGCAUGGUAACUAUGUAAAAGGUGGCUAUACUACCGCUUUUGGAUGGGCCCGCGGCGCAUUAGCUAGUUGGUAGGGUAAAGGCUUACCAAGGCAAUGAUGCGUAGCCGAAUUGAGAGGUUGAUCGGCCACAUUGGGACUGAGACACGGCCCAAACUCCUACGGGAGGCAGCAGUAGGGAAUCUUCCACAAUGGGCGGAAGCCUGAUGGAGCAACGCCGCGUGGGUGAAGAAGGUCUUCGGAUCGUAAAACCCUGUUGUUAGAGAAGAAAGUGCGUGAGAGUAACUGUUCACGUUUCGACGGUAUCUAACCAGAAAGCCACGGCUAACUACGUG
rnacentral:rRNA from 1 species